rnacentral:lncRNA from 1 species
GGUAAACUGUGUUAAUAACUGUGGGUUCCAGGUCUACAAACACGGUCCUGGGCACAUGCUUUUCAGUGCCUGUCUCACUGAAGAAGGUGUUAAAGGAGUCAUCUCCCCCUCAAAUUGUCUUGUCUUGUCACUUGGCAUCUGGCCAUGGUGCUGGAUGCCAUGUUCCAGGCAGUAGAGUUACCAGCUGGAGCUGCCUGUCUGGACACCAGGCUGGCCAAUGUGGAUGGAGAUGCGCUCACACAUAGUGGCUAAGAGUUAGGAGGCUAAAGCGACAGGAGCAGAUAACGGGUCCAAUGACCGAUCCCAACAAGCUAAGAGUCAAGGCUAAGUUUUAAGGAAGCUUACUACUGCUGUACUGCUUUUGUAAGAGAGUGCCAAGCAGCUGGGGAAACAUGAUACAAGAGGCACUGGUUUUGGAGAAAAGAAAAAGGCAGAAGCUGGAAGACCCUUGGGGCUACUCAAGUGAAGCAGUAGA